AAAUGUCUCAAAGUUGAGGUAUAAGAAAGAAAAAACUUAUAAAUCUGCCAUUAUCAUUCUUGAAUUUGAUCGUUAUGUGGCAGAUUAACUAUAUGCCUAAAUCUGCAACUCGCCCCAAAAAAACUUCUAAAUCUGCCACUAUCAUUGCAAUUAAUAAUAUGCUUCUGCUUAUUAUCAACGUGAUUGAGUCACAGGUAUUCUGUGUAAAGAGCAGUAAUUGCAAUCAAACCUAAAGAAAGUGUUCUAUGAUGUCUUCAAUUCUAUUUAUAGUGGCACACCUUAUAUAUUUAUCUUGGUUGUAUUGAGAUUUGCAACUAAUAUACUUGAAAUUUGACGUACAAAAUUUGUUUAAUAAAGAGAUUAGGAUGAAAUUACAUGCAUAUAAUAUUGCUGCUUACUCUUAAGUGCAUGUAUUUGCACAUUACAAUCAUGUUUGCGAUAAAUGAAAUGAUAUGAUAUUUACAGAUUUAUUUUUACACGGUUCAUAUGAUUCAAUCCUUCACAGCAAAGUUAUGUCACAAUAAUGGGCUAUCCAACAACUAGGUAUUGUGAUGUAGAACAGAUGAUGAAAGCAAUUGAAGAGGAUUGGAGAGACGGGCGAACAAAGUUAAAUCGGGCGAGCUGCAUAUUUAGGCUCUGAGCUCAGAAUUGGGCCCAUAAUGUAUAGGCUUUUUCGGACAUCCGAAAUUGUUUAGUAGCUCAAAAUCCAAAUUUUAUGUUUUUACAAUUUUUGAGAAACCUUAUUAUUUUCCUAUUAUAAUUUCUUGCAUUGCGUGGAGUUGUGGGUAAUGCGUUAUUAAAUCAUCCUUAUUAAACUGCCUAAUAAGAUGAAAUAGACGUCUAUUAUCUGAAAUUGUUAUCUCAAUCAGGAGACUGAUGUGACAUGUUUCUAAUUAAUCCAAUUCAUGCUGCUAUGAUAGCAUCAGCCCCCUGCACAAAUUUUUUUUUUCCUUCUUUUAAUUAAAAAAAAUCCAGUUUGUUAAAACUACUGUAAUGAAAAAUUGGUUGACAUAUUGUUGCGCAAUUGGCAUUUCUUGUACAUUUUGUUUACUACUUCUUUGGAGAUACUUUUAGACAUGAAUAUUGAGACAGACAAAAUUGGACUUGUUGAGAGUUUUGUAUUCGAACUUGAACCACACCCAGAAACCUUAAUCCGACUGUCAUGCAAAUGGGCUUUCCUCAAAUGUACUUAUUACAUAUUUCUAAUGUUUUCAAAUAAUGUAGAUGAGUUUUUCUUCUUGGGCUUGAAAAGUGAUUAUUUUGGACAUUGAAUGUCCUAUUUUCUCAUUUAUCUUAUCAUCAAAAUUUUAAAGAUAAAUUUACCUCUUUGUAAGUAAGUCACACUCCCUCAAUGAAGUGAAAAGAAGAAACUUCGAAGAAUCGAAAGGAAAUCCUAAAAUAAAAAUGAAAAAUAAAUAAAUUUCCAAGUUUAACCCUAAACCCUAGAGAAUUUUAGAAGAAUAGUUUGUGAAACGAAAAUUAAGAAACGUUUGAAAUUGUUUUUAAUUUUUUAGUUUCAAAAUAAAACUAUCCCUCCUAACUUUCCAUCCAAAAGAACCAUUAAGAACGAUUUUGGCCUAAUUUAUCAUUGAUGUUUUUCUUAAAGAGGAUUAAGGUGUUUGAUGAAAUGUCUCAAAGGUGAGGUAUAAGGAAGAAAAACUUCUAAAUCUGCCACUAUUAUUCUUGAAUUUGAUCAUUAUGUGUGUGUACAUGUAUGCAAUUAACUAUAUUAUCAGCAUGAUUGAGUCACAGGUAUUCUAUAUAAAGAGCAGUAAUUGCGAUUGAAUCUGAAGAAAGUGUUCUCUGAUGUCU
rnacentral:lncRNA from 1 species